GUCCUCCCGAGGGUUAGACUAUCUACUUCUGGAGCAACCCACUCCCAUGGUGUGACGGGCGGUGUGUACAAGGCCCGGGAACGUAUUCACCGCGUCAUUCUGAUACGCGAUUACUAGCGAUUCCGACUUCAUGGAGUCGAGUUGCAGACUCCAAUCCGGACUACGACGCACUUUAAGUGAUUCGCUUACUCUCGCGAGUUCGCAGCACUCUGUAUGCGCCAUUGUAGCACGUGUGUAGCCCUACACGUAAGGGCCAUGAUGACUUGACAUCGUCCCCACCUUCCUCCGGUUUAUCACCGGCAGUCUCCUUAGAGUUCUCAGCAUUACCUGCUAGCAACUAAGGAUAGGGGUUGCGCUCGUUGCGGGACUUAACCCAACAUCUCACAACACGAGCUGACGACAGCCAUGCAGCACCUGUAUCAGAGUUCCCGAAGGCACCAAACCAUCUCUGGUAAGUUCUCUGUAUGUCAAGUGUAGGUAAGGUUCUUCGCGUUGCAUCGAAUUAAACCACAUGCUCCACCGCUUGUGCGGGCCCCCGUCAAUUCAUUUGAGUUUUAACCUUGCGGCCGUACUCCCCAGGCGGUCUACUUAAUGCGUUAGCUUUGAAAAACAGAACCGAGGUUCCGAGCUUCUAGUAGACAUCGUUUACGGCGUGGACUACCAGGGUAUCUAAUCCUGUUUGCUCCCCACGCUUUCGUACAUGAGCGUCAGUGUUGACCCAGGUGGCUGCCUUCGCCAUCGGUAUUCCUUCAGAUCUCUACGCAUUUCACCGCUACACCUGAAAUUCUACCACCCUCUAUCACACUCUAGUUUGCCAGUUCGAAAUGCAGUUCCCAGGUUGAGCCCGGGGCUUUCACAUCUCGCUUAACAAACCGCCUGCGUUCGCUUUACGCCCAGUAAUUCCGAUUAACGCUCGCACCCUCCGUAUUACCGCGGCUGCUGGCACGGAGUUAGCCGGUGCUUCUUCUGUCAGUAACGUCACAGCUAGCAGGUAUUAACUACUAACCUUUCCUCCUGACUGAAAGUGCUUUACAACCCGAAGGCCUUCUUCACACACGCGGCAUGGCUGCAUCAGGCUUGCGCCCACUGUGCAAUAUUCCCCACUGCUGCCUCCCGUAGGAGUGUGGGCCGUGUGUCAGUCCCAGUGUGGCUGAUCAUCCUCUCAAACCAGCUAGGGAU
rnacentral:rRNA from 1 species